rnacentral:rRNA from 1 species
UGGGGAAUUUUGGACAAUGGGGGAAACCCUGAUCCAGCCAUCCCGCGUGUGCGAUGAAGGCCUUCGGGUUGUAAAGCACUUUUGGCAGGAAAGAAACGUCGCGGGUUAAUACCCCGCGGAACUGACGGUACCUGCAGAAUAAGCACCGGCUAACUACGUGCCAGCAGCCGUGGUAAUACGUAGGGUGCAAGCGUUAAUCGGAAUUACUGGGCGUAAAGCGUGCGCAGGCGGUUCGGAAAGAAAGAUGUGAAAUCCCAGAGCUUAACUUUGGAACUGCAUUUUUAACUACCGGGCUAGAGUGUGUCAGAGGGAGGUGGAAUUCCGCGUGUAGCAGUGAAAUGCGUAGAUAUGCGGAGGAACACCGAUGGCGAAGGCAGCCUCCUGGGAUAACACUGACGCUCAUGCACGAAAGCGUGGGGAGCAAACAGGAUUAGAUACCCUGGUAGUCCACGCCCUAAACGAUGUCAACUAGCUGUUGGGGUCUUCGGACCUUGGUAGCGCAGCUAACGCGUGAAGUUGACCGCCUGGGGAGUACGGUCGCAAGAUUAAAACUCAAAUGAAUUGACGGGGGUCAUACU